AUGCUCUCGUGGUGGGGCUCCAUGUUGCUUUGGCCUGGAUGCUGCUGCCAUCUUGUGGAUGUCGCUUCUGAGGCGAAGGUUUCUUCUCUCUCCAAGGAAAGGUUAUCGUUCUUUCUCUUGCCCCAGUUAACAUUGCUCGCGUUAAUCCACAUGUUUAAAGCUCUUUCCUUAAACGCGGAGCCCCACCUAGGAGGCCCAGAAAUGGGGCCCCCCGGGUCAUCGGGGACAUUUCCCAUGCACUCCCACGGCCCACCAGGCUCCUUAAUAAGGGGAUGCCAUCAGAGGAAGGCAGUGCCUCCCCCCAACCCCCUCUCCACCGCAGAGCAGAUGAGAAAACUGAGUCAGAGUGACUAGUCAUUAAGUGACUAGCCUGGGUCACCCAACUAACAGUCCUUUGGUGUUCAGUUUGCGGAGCCCUUUUCGAGGCUGCUCAUUCCACCUAUGACACCUCUCCUCGUGGCUUCAAGAAGCUGUAGCGUGUGUGGCGGCCACACUCCAGUAAAACCAUCUCAGCAGACAGGUCAGCUCAGGCUGAGGGGGUUCAAACCUUCGGUGAGUUAGGGGGAAUGUCCGCGUUAAACAUGUGAAGACUUCUUCCAGAAGAAUGAGUAGAUGAGAACAAGAACCAUUGUUCCAGCGGCCACGAGGGUGGCUGAAGCUGGCACUGUGGGGUGCUUAGAGCUUGGUCAGCCAUGGGAGAUGCCAAGGUCAUCCACUGCAUCCCGGGCCAUCACUACUCGUCCUGACUGUUGUUUUUAAUGAUGCUGGAAGAAUGGUGCUGACAACUUUAUGUGACUCUUCCUCACCUAACUCCAGUGCAUGAGCAAGUCAAGAUAUCACCUUGUGACAUCAUUGGUCCUCUUUGAAAUGAAGGAUGAACAACAACUUCUGGAUAGUGUCAGCAGUUCCUGAUUUACUCCCUUCCAGGGGCCCUUCCAUCUCCAACAAAGUCCAAAGACUAAUUUCAUUAAAAUGUAGCUUGAUAUGUUGAAAAUAUCGCUAUAUAUUUUGUUUUUAAUUUAUGAAUGUAUCUCUCCUUUACCCUAGGUCAAGAGCAUGAGGAGUGAGCUCCUUUUAGUUCAUAAGUCUGUAUUCAUGGUGUGAAGUAAGCUUACUCCUUGGGCCAGUAUAGACUUUGCCUUCUAGGAACUUUCUAUCUAGUUGAGGCAAUAAAAGACCUGUGUAGACCCUGCCCUCUAGGAAU
rnacentral:lncRNA from 1 species